rnacentral:tRNA from 1 species
CCGGUGUUGGCCGAGCGGUCAAUGGCAGCAGACUGUAAAUCUGUAAAGUCCCUGGUUCGAAUCCAGGACGCCGGACCA